UGCGCAGGCGGUUCGUUUUGUGGGUGGUGAAAUCUCCUGGCUCAACUGGGAGGGGCCAUCCAAACGGGCGAACUUGAGGCGUGGAGAGGGACGUGGAAUUCCGGGUGGAGCGGUGAAAUGCGUAGAGAUCCGGAGGAACACCGACGGCGAAGGCAGCGUCCUGGCCACGACCUGACGCUCAGGCACGAAAGCUGGGGGAGCAAACAGGAUUAGAUACCCUGGUAGUCCCAGCUGUAAACGAUGUCCACCAGGUGCUGGAGGUAUCGACCCCUUCGGUGCCGAAGCUAACGUGAUGAGUGGACCGCCUGGGGAGUACGGCCGCAAGGUUAAA
rnacentral:rRNA from 1 species